CGCGGGGUAGAGCAGCCAGAUAGCUCGGCGGGCCCAUAACCCGCAGGUCGCGGGUUUAAAUCCCGCCCCCGCAACAA
rnacentral:tRNA from 1 species